rnacentral:rRNA from 1 species
CCUACGUGUGGCAGCAGUGGGGAAUAUUGGACAAUGGGCGAAAGCCUGAUCCAGCCAUGCCGCGUGUGUGAAGAAGGCCUUCGGGUUGUAAAGCACUUUCAGUGGGGAAGAAAGCCUUUGGGCUAAUACCCUCGAGGAAGGACAUCACCCACAGAAGAAGCACCGGCUAACUCCGUGCCAGCAGCCGCGGUAAUACGGAGGGUGCGAGCGUUAAUCGGAAUUACUGGGCGUAAAGCGUGCGUAGGCGGUCUGAUAAGCCGGUUGUGAAAGCCCCGGGCUCAACCUGGGAACGGCAUCCGGAACUGUCAGGCUAGAGUGCAGGAGAGGAAGGUAGAAUUCCCGGUGUAGCGGUGAAAUGCGUAGAGAUCGGGAGGAAUACCAGUGGCGAAGGCGGCCUUCUGGACUGACACUGACGCUGAGGUGCGAAAGCGUGGGUAGCAAACAGGAUUAGAUACCCUUGUAGUC